rnacentral:rRNA from 1 species
UGGAGGGUGUAUUUAUUAGANGAAACCAAUGCGAGCACCCGGUUACUGGUGAUCAUAAUAACUUUCGGAUCGGUCUUGGAUCGAUGUUCAUUCAAGUUUCUGCCCUAUCAGCUUUGGAUGGUAGGGUAUUGGCCUACCAUGGCUUUAACGGGUAACGGAGAAUUAGGGUUCGAUUCCGGAGAGGGAGCCUGAGAAAUGGCUACCACAUCCNNGGAAGGCAGCAGGCGCGUAAAUUACCCAAUCCUGACACAGGGAGGUAGUGACAAUAAAUAACAAUGCCGGGCUAUUUAGUCUGGCAAUUGGAAUGAGAACAAUUUAAAUCCCUUAUCGAGGAUCAAUUGGAGGGCAAGUCUGGUGCCAGCAGCCGCGGUAAUUCCAGCUCCAAUAGUAAUACUAAAAGUUGUUGCAGUUAAAA